UACAGAGGUCUCAAGCGUUGUUCGGAUUCAUUGGGCGUAAAGGGUGCGCAGGCGGCGUGGAAAGUUGAGUGUGAAAUCCCGGGGCUCAACCCCGGAACUGCACUCAAUACUCCCAUGCUAGAGGAAUGUAGAGGAGAGUGGAAUUCACGGUGUAGCAGUGAAAUGCGUAGAUAUCGUGAGGAAGACCAGUUGCGAAGGCGACUCUCUGGGCAUUUCCUGACGCUGAGGCGCGAAAGCCAGGGGAGCAAACGGG
rnacentral:rRNA from 1 species